AACGAACGCUGGCGGCAGGCUUAACACAUGCAAGUCGAACGGGUGCAGCAAUGCAUCAGUGGCAGACGGGUGAGUAACACGUGGGAACCUUCCUAGGGGUACGGAACAACUCAGGGAAACUUGAGCUAAUACCGUAUACGUCCGUGAGGAGAAAGAUUUAUCGCCCUUAGACGGGCCCGCGUCGGAUUAGCUAGUUGGUGGGGUAACGGCCUACCAAGGCGACGAUCCGUAGCUGAUCUUAGAGGAUGAUCAGCCACACUGGGACUGAGACACGGCCCAGACUCCUGCGGGAGGCAGCAGUGGAGAAUCUUGGACAAUGGGCGCAAGCCUGAUCCAGCCAUGCCGCGUGAGUGAAGAAGGUCUUCGGAUUGUAAACUUCAAUAGUCUAUUAAAAAAUCUUGAUUGAUAGAUGAAAGCCCUGGCUAACCACGUGCCAGCCGCCGCGGUAA
rnacentral:rRNA from 1 species